rnacentral:rRNA from 1 species
CCUACGGGAGGCAGCAGUGAGGAAUAUUGGUCAAUGGGCGAGAGCCUGAACCAGCCAAGUCGCGUGAAGGAUGAAGGAUCUAUGGUUUGUAAACUCCUUUUAUAUGGGAAUAAAGUGAGGAACGUGUUCCUUUUUGUAUGUACCAUAUGAAUAAGCAUCGGCUAACUCCGUGCCAGCAGCCGCGGUAAUACGGAGGAUGCGAGCGUUAUCCGGAUUUAUUGGGUUUAAAGGGUGCGUAGGUGGUUAAUUAAGUCAGCGGUGAAAGUUUGUGGCUCAACCAUAAAAUUGCCGUUGAAACUGGUUGACUUGAGUAUAUUUGAGGUAAGCGGAAUGCGUGGUGUAGCGGUGAAAUGCAUAGAUAUCACGCAGAACUCCGAUUGCGAAGGCAGCUUACUAAACUAUAACUGACACUGAAGCACGAAAGCGUGGGGAGCAAACAGGAUUAGAUACCCGAGUAGUC